rnacentral:misc_RNA from 1 species
UUUCCGUAGGUGAACCUGCGGAAGGAUCAUUAUUGUAUAACGUAGGUGCGAGGACUCUCGCUGACCCGAAAUGACGUGCACGCCCGAGUGCCCUCACACACAUCCAUCCCCCCCCUAUGUGCACCACCGGGUGGGUCCCCCUUUGGCUUGUUCGGAGGGGGGCUUACGUUUUCACACAAACUUUGUAUGCAGUGUAGAAUUUAUUUUUUGUUUUUGCGAUCACGCAAUCAAUACAACUUUCAACAACGGAUCUCUUGGCUCUC